rnacentral:lncRNA from 1 species
GAGGCCAGAAAGAAAAAUAUUGAGAAUUGUAGAGGAACAAUUGGUAAAGAGUUAUCUACUCUUGAACUCAUGAAUACUUGUUGUGCUGGCCAUAAGGUGUUUGUGAGGAAUAGAGAUCUCAACCCCACUAAGAAAUAUGAGUAUGUUUCUCAAUUUUCAUAUUUGAGGGGUAUGAAGUUUGAUAAAAUAGUGAGAGACACAAU